rnacentral:lncRNA from 1 species
UUGUAAUUCCGCACUUUAUGGUAUAAAAAAAAGAUCAAAAAGUCAAAAAAAAAAAAGAAGAGAGAAAAUAAAAGGCUAACAAAAAAAAAGAGGGAAAAUCAAUGGUCAAAAAAGAAAAAAGAGAUCAGAAUUAGAAAAAAAAAAUUACGGAUUCAAAGAAUACUUGCAAGUUACAGAAUUUGAUCUUUGUUCAUUUGAAUUUCUAUUUCGAUUUGGAAAUCUUUCUUCGUUCCUAAAAAAAAAA